GCCUGGGUGGCUCAGUCGAUUAAGUGCCUGACUUCAGCUCAGGUCAUGAUCUUGAGGUUUGUGAGUUCAAGCCCUGCUUCGGGCU
rnacentral:tRNA from 1 species